CCUACGGGUGGCAGCAGUGGGGAAUAUUGGACAAUGGGGGGAACCCUGAUCCAGCCAUGCCGCGUGUGUGAAGAAGGCCCUCGGGUUGUAAAGCACUUUCAGUGAGGAAGAACGCCUGGUGGUUAAUACCCAUCAGGAAAGGCAUCACUCACAGAAGAAGCACCGGCUAACUCCGUGCCAGCAGCCGCGGUAAUACGGAGGGUGCGAGCGUUAAUCGGAAUUACUGGGCGUAAAGCGCGCGUAGGUGGCUUGAUAAGCCGGUUGUGAAAGCCCCGGGCUCAACCUGGGAACGGCAUCCGGAACUGUCAAGCUAGAGUGCAGGAGAGGAAGGUAGAAUUCCCGGUGUAGCGGUGAAAUGCGUAGAGAUCGGGAGGAAUACCAGUGGCGAAGGCGGCCUUCUGGACUGACACUGACACUGAGGUGCGAAAGCGUGGGUAGCAAACAGGAUUAGAUACCCCUGUAGUC
rnacentral:rRNA from 1 species